CCCAAAGAUAACUGCUCUAAUGGCAGUUCAGGGAGGUUAUUGGGAGUGUUCCUCCUGGUGGUUUUGUUCCAAAAUUUUCUGCCCAUUAUCACCAUGACUCAACCUUGGCACUUCUUUACGGUUUCUCUAGCCGGUGGUUAGGUCCAUCUUUUCCUGCCCAUGAUCUUCUCAACUCACUCCUACAAUCCUGGUAAACUGUCUAUUUUAGGGUUUGAAGAGGUUAACUGUAGAUGGACUACUGCGGUUGGGGAAAGAAGGAAAUACGAAGUAGAGUUCUCCUGGAUUCCAUCAAUUGACGACGGUUCCCCCAUGCUCUCCUAAUUGCAGGUCCGCCUAUUUGUGCUUCUCACCCACCUAUAAAUCUAUCGUCCCAUCUCCAAGUAAAAAAAGCGAAUGAAGAAAGUAGAUACGAACUACGAUUGAUGGAGUGAGCAGGGGUCGAUAUAAUUGAUCUAGGGUUCCACCCACAAGUUAAGGUAAUAAGUUCUUAGUCUCAAAUCGAAUUUUUUUAUAUGAUCUAGGGUGUUGUAGCGGCGAAGAGAGGAGGCCUGAUGACGUUAAGGAAGCUUUGAAAUUGAGAAGAUUGGGGAAAAUUUUCAAUUUCAUCUUCAAUUGACACCCUGUACGUCCAUCAUCAAUUGGCACACAUCUACCAAUGAUAUGCUUGGUAGAUGUUGCUAUUAUUAAGGUUGGAUUAGGAGGAAAGAGGGAUGCACCUAAUGUGGUAUCCAAGUUUAAUAAAAGAAAAUUCAUAAUUCUACAUACAAAGAAGGUGUCUAAUAUGAUCCACAUUUUUUCCCGGAUCACGCUACUAGGGUAUGACCACACAUAAAUCCUUGGUAAUACUUUGAAUAAAUUGCGGGACAGAAUGCUAAGGUGCCUUUUCAAGCGUCAGUAUUGAACUUGCUUUCAUAUUAAGCUAUAUGGGGCAUCAAAGAACUGGUCACUUUGAAGUGAAAUCGUAGAUCUGACCAUAAGCAUGGUAAAAGGGAAACAGGUGGAUCAAACAUGUACUUCUUUUAGUUUGGGUUCACAAAAUGGAUGGGUCAGGCGGGUAAUCUGAUAAAAACGAUUUUCCCUUUCCGACCGGUUGACGAAAGUUGUUAUCCAGUGUUUUACAAUAUCUUUUGGAUGAAUUUGUAUCCAUAAAUAAUUCUGAUUCUACUCUUUGUGUUAACUGGUCUGUUGGGUUAAUCUUGAUGUUACGGAUUGUGUACGGGUCAAGUCGGUUACCGGUUUUGUUUAAAUGGGUCACCAAAUAGAAAACGGGUCAUGGGUCGACAUCUUAUCGGUACGGGUGAUAGGUACAGUUCAUCUACGGUUGACUAGGAAAGUAGGAGCUGAACAUGGAGUUUGUGAAACACGUUUGAAAGGUGAGCGUUGCAAGUUUGUUGCAUUAGGAAGAUGUGGACUGAGUUUUUCGCAUGUGCUUAUUUAGUUUAUUAUAAAUACGAGUAUUUGUUCUUUUGCUAUGUACCCCAUUUUUCAUAUUCGAGUACAGAAGCUUUCACUUUUGCAUUCUAUUUCUUUUUCACUUGCAUUACAUACUACAUAUAUGAGAGUUGAGUGUGUAUAGAGUGUGAGUGUGGUGCCUGAAACCAACAUGGUCACCCUAAUUUACUAAUGGUGGGUCUCUCCAACACAUGAAUGACCCUGGGUUGUCAGUUUGUUUUAUGGUGAGGAGCAUUCUUUACACUUUAAAUGGUGGUAUGUGAUUCGAGUCAUACAGUGCCACUAUGCAAAAUGGUUGCUUCUCCCUUCCUGAUAACUGAUUGGGUUCUUAAUCAAUUAUAGGUACUAUUUUUGAAUCCCAGCAUUGACAUAUUUUUAAAGAUGACAAAAUGGAUGGGUCAAGUAACGGGUUAGCACCGCUACAUUAUUGGGUAUGGGUUGGGUUUUCAUUUUUCAAAAAAUUCUGUAGAGUCCGUAUGAGUAAAUAGAGUUCUAUGAUCAAAUAAUAAAAUUUUAGUUUGUUCUACUGUUUAUUGGUUCAUUUAGAAUAAUUUUUGAGAGAUAUUAUUAUAUAUUUUUCUUUCACUUGAUUUGAUACAUGGUUAUGAUCAAGAGAUAUAAGCUAAUAUUGUUGUUGUUUGCAGCCAAUUUUCAAGUGGAUCAAGUUUAAUGCAGUUCAAAAGGAUUCAGGUUUGUUACCUAUGCAGGUAUCACAUUUCGUUUGUAAGUAAUUUUUGUGUUCUUUUUUAAAAGGCAGAAUAUUUUUGUAACUAGUAUGGAUGCGUUUAAUACAAACUUAAAAUACAAUUUGUUAGUCUGUUAAUGUAUUUUUUUUAUAUAUGAUCUUCAUUUUUUUCUAUUCAUCUUACAAUUUGUCGGUCUGUUAAUGUAUCUUUUAUUAUUAAUGCAAAAUUCGGUUUCGUUUUGAAACUAUUCGAUACGAAUUCUAACAAUUUUGGUUCGGUUCAUUUUGGGGUGUUAGGUUCAAAAGUAUAUCAAAAUUGAGUUCCCAGUUUUAAGUUUUAUUUUGUCGAUUUAUUUUAUGUAAAUAGAAAUGAAUAAUAUGAAUUAAUACAAGUUCACUGAGUUUGGAGGGGUGGUUCAUUAUAGACCAACUUAAGAUAGAUGCAUACUUAGUCGCUAAAUUAUUAAGAGUAAUGGAUCCUUUGUCAAUUAUUAUAUGGCAAGUUAAAUUUUUUUAUUGUAUUUUUAUUUUCUUACUUAGCCGUUACUGGAUAAAGUUGCAUUAAGGUUUAUUGGAAUGUUGUGUAUAUGGGACUAAAACAAGAAGCUAAAUGGGCAGGGCUAAAGCAUUGAAUGGCCAAGAUGGGUAGAGAUAAAGGAUUGAACGGUUACAUUGGGUGGCUAAAAACGUUAACUUCUUUUAGUGGACUCCACUUUACUAGAGUAAAUCUCAAAGCUUCUUCAUCUAGAUUACCAUUGUAGCUUGAAACUACGCUAUCGUUUGAUCGUUGCUGUAUACUCGGUUAUAAAGAUUGCAGUGUAUAACUGAAUACCGAGAGCGAGACGAUUCAGAGGCGUCCUGAUUCAGUGUGUUCACGAGUUGGUUACGGCAUCAAUGAGGUAAAAAGAAACCCACACGCAAUUACAUGUUUUUGGAGCUUGCAAUAUGUUGUGCUUCUUUUAUAUACUUAUGUCCUUCUGUUCGUAUAUAUUUCUUCUUUUUUGUGUACUCACUUAAGUACUAAUCAUGUAUAUUUCAUGAAUUAUGUUUAGAUGUUGAACUCUUUGCUGGUUGUGGUCAUCAGUCCAUCCAUAGAGUUUUUGUUGAUUCUAGUAUCAGUCAUUAUAUAGCCAAUAUGGUUGGCAAUGGCGCUUCCGAAACAUAUAGCUUGUAUGCGAAGUGCUCAAAGCUCAUGGUGUUGACCAAACUAAAAGGCAUUGUGGUCAAUACCUUUGUCUGGAAUAGAUAAGAAAUAACAAAAAGGUUACUUGGUAUUUUAGUCUUUUGCUAUUAUGCUAACUUUUUACUUUGAUGUAGGUGCUCUUACAAAUUUUGUAUAAUAGCUUCAACACAAGAGGUAAUUCUUGGUACGUAUAGUGGCCAACUACAUGAAAUUGUUUUUGAUGAGGAAGACAAAAGGGAGAAAUACAUUGAUUCUUUGUAAUAGGUUAGAAAUAGUAGUUUACCAAUUGCCGCCCGAAGAAAGGAUAUUGUUUUAUUUAUUUAUUUUUAAAUCAAAUGGGUAUUUGGCUAAACCUAAUACUUGGUGUUUUAAGAAGAAUGUUCCCCUCGGAAAACACAUGCCCUAGACGAUGGUCCUCUCCGCCCACCCAGGCGGGCCCCUGAGUAUGGCUUUGUAUAUGCUAUUACCAAGUUGUUCCUUUUUAUUUAUGAUCUUUACGUAAUAUAAUUUGUUAAAUGAUGACACUAAAUUGUACAAUCUUUCGUAGUGAA